rnacentral:rRNA from 1 species
AGUAUUGGACAAUGGGGGAAACCCUGAUCCAGCCAGGCCGCGUGUGUGAAGAAGGUCUUCGGAUUGUAAAGCACUUGAAGUUGGGAGGAAGGGCUUUAGGUAAAUACCCGGAAGUUUUGACGUUACCAACAGAAUAAGCACCGGCUAACUCUGCGACAACAGCCGCGGUAAGACAGAGGGUGCAAGCGUGAAUCGGAAUUACUGGGCGUAAAGCGCGCGUAGGUGGUUCAGUAAGAUGGGUGUGAAAUCCCCGGGCUUAACCUGGGAACUGCUUUCAUAUCUGCUGAGCUAGAGUACGGUAGAGGGUAGUGGAAUUUCCUGUGUAGCGGUGAAAUGCGUAGAUAUAGGAAGGAACACCAGUGGCGAAGGCGACUACCUGGACUGAUACUGACACUGAGGUGCGAAAGCGUGGGGAGCAAAC